rnacentral:rRNA from 1 species
CACGCCGUAAACGAUGAAUACUAGGUGUAGGGGGUAUCGACCCCCCCUGUGCCGCAGUUAACACAAUAAGUAUUCCGCCUGGGGAGUACGGCCGCAAGGCUGAAACUCAAAGGAAUUGACGGGGACCCGCACAAGCGGUGGAGCAUGUGGUUUAAUUCGACGCAACGCGAAGAACCUUACCAGGGCUUGACAUCCCUUGACCGCCAUGGAAACAUGGUUUUCGGGCCUUCGGGCCUGACAAGGAGACAGGUGG